rnacentral:rRNA from 1 species
AUACGGAGGGUGCAAGCGUUACGCGGAAUCACUGGGCGUAAAGCGCGCGCAGGCGGCUAUUUAGGUUGGAUGUGAAAGCCUACGGCUCAACCGUAGAACUGCAUCCAAAACUAUUUAGCUAGAGUGUGGGAGAGGAAGAUGGAAUUAGUUGUGUAGGGGUAAAAUCCGUAGAGAUAACUAGGAAUACCAAAAGCGAAGGCAAUCUUCUGGAACACUACUGACGCUGAGGCGCGAAAGCGUGGGGAGCAAACGGGAUUAGAAACCCCGGUAGUCC